UGGACCCUACGGGAGGCAGCAGUCGGGAAUAUUGCGCAAUGGAGGAAACUCUGACGCAGUGACGCCGCGUGCAGGAAGAAGGUUUUCGGAUUGUAAACUUCUGUUCUUAGUGAAGAAAAAUGACGGUAGCUAAGGAGCAAGCCACGGCUAACUACGUGCCAGCAGCCGCGGUAAUACGUAGGUGGCAAGCGUUGUCCGGAAUUACUGGGUGUAAAGGGAGCGCAGGCGGGAAGCCAAGUCAGCUGUGAAAACUACGGGCUUAACUUGUAGACUGCAGUUGAAACUGGUUUUCUUGAGUGAAGUAG
rnacentral:rRNA from 1 species